rnacentral:piRNA from 1 species
AACAUUGACAAGAGCCUGUAUGU